rnacentral:tRNA from 1 species
GAAAUAUGAUGUUCAAGAUAAAGCUUCUAACUUUUUUCUCUAGCGGUUAAAUUCCGUUUAUAUUUCU